GUCGAACGCUGAARCACUCUGCUUGCAGAGUGURGAUGAGUGGCGAACGGGUGUGCACACGUGGGGAACCUGCCCAUAAGAGGGGGAUAACAUCCGGAAACGGGKGCUAAUACCGCAUAGGUGAUCAUAGCGCAUGCUUAGAUCAUUAAAGAUGGCUUCGGCUAUCGCUUAUGGAUGGCCCCGCGGCGUAUUAGCUAGUUGGUGAGGUAAUGGCUCACCAAGGCUGUGAUACGUAGCCGACCUGAGAGGGUGAUCGGCCACACUGGAACUGAGACACGGUCCAGACUCCUACGGGAGGCAGCAGUAGGGAAUCUUCCACAAUGGGCGAAAGCCUGAUGGAGCAAUACCGCGUGAGUGAAGAAGGUCUUCGGAUCGUAAAGCUCUGUUGUUAGAGAAGAACAAGAGGUGUAGUAACUGGCACCUCCUUGACGGUAUCUAACCAGAAAGUCACGGCUAACUACGUGCCAGCAGCCGCGGUAAUACGUAGGUGACAAGCGUUGUCCGGAUUUAUUGGGCGUAAAGCGAGMGCAGGCGGUCUUUUAAGUCUGAUGUGAAAGCCCACGGCUCAACCGUGGAGGGUCAUUGGAAACUGGAAGACUUGAAUGCAGAAGAGGAAAGUGGAAUUCCAUGUGUAGCGGUGAAAUGCGUAGAUAUAUGGAGGAACACCAGUGGCGAAGGCGACUUUCUGGUCUGUAAUUGACGCUGAGGCUCGAAAGCGUGGGGAGCGAACAGGAUUAGAUACCCUGGUAGUCCACGCCGUAACGAUGAGUGCUAGUGUUGGAGGGUUUCCGCCCUUCAGUGCUGGAGCUACGCAUUAGCACUCCGCUGGGGGAGUACGGC
rnacentral:rRNA from 1 species